rnacentral:rRNA from 1 species
UACAGAGGGGGCAAGCGUUGUUCGGAAUUACUGGGCGUAAAGGCGCGUAGGCGGCCUGCUAAGUCGAACGUGAAAUCCCUGGGCUCAACCCCAGGAACUGCGUCCGAUACUGGUUGGCUUGAAUCCGGGGAGAGGGAUGUGGAAUUCCCAGGUGUAGCGGUGAAAUGCGUAGAUAUCUGGAGGAACACCGGUGGCGAAGGCGACAUCCUGGACCGGUAUGACGCUGAGGCGCGAAAGCCAGGGGAGCAAACAGG